GAUGAACGCUGGCGGCGUGCCUAAUACAUGCAAGUCGAUCGAACGGACGAGAAGCUUGCUUCUCUGAUGUUAUCGGCGGACGGGUGAGUAACACGUGGAUAACCUACCUAUAAGACUGGGAUAACUUCGGGAAACCGGAGCUAAUACCGGAUAAUAUUUUGAACCGCAUGGUUCAAAAGUGAAAGACGGUCUUGCUGUCACUUAUAGAUGGAUCCGCGCUGCAUUAGCUAGUUGGUAAGGUAACGGCUUACCAAGGCAACGAUGCAUAGCCGACCUGAGAGGGUGAUCGGCCACACUGGAACUGAGACACGGUCCAGACUCCUACGGGAGGCAGCAGUAGGGAAUCUUCCGCAAUGGGCGAAAGCCUGACGGAGCAACGCCGCGUGAGUGAUGAAGGUCUUCGGAUCGUAAAACUCUGUUAUUAGGGAAGAACAUAUGUGUAAGUAACUGUGCACAUCUUGACGGUACCUAACCAGAAAGCCACGGCUAACUACGUG
rnacentral:rRNA from 1 species